GACGAACGCUGGCGGCGUGCUUAACACAUGCAAGUCGAACGGAAAGGCCCUGCUUUUUUGUGGUGCUCGAGUGGCGCACGGGUGUGUAACACGUGAGUAUCCUUCCUUUGACUUUGGGAUAACUUCAGAAAACUGGGGCUAAUACCGGAUUGGAGCUCCUGCUGCAUGGUGGUGGUUGGAACGUUUCGGCGGUUGGGGAUGGACGCGCGGGUUAUCAGCUUGUUGGUGGGGUAGUGGCUUACGAAGGCUUUGACGGGUAGUCGGCCUGGGAGGGGGACCGGCGUCAAUGGUACUGAGAUACGGCGCAGACUCCAACGGGAGGCAGCAGGGGGGAACAUUGCACAAUGGGCGGAAGCCUGAGGCAGCAAUGCCGCGUGCGGGAUGACGGCCUUCGGGUGGGAAACCGCAGUCGGCUGAGACGAAGCGUGAGUGACGGUAAUGGGUAAAGAAGCACCGGCUAACUACGUG
rnacentral:rRNA from 1 species